GCUGAGCUGAAGUCGAUCAAGUCCAGUGAGGGAUGAGGAUCGCAGCACAACCAAGUCGGAGAUUGACCUAUAGUUGGGGUGAGACGGUUGAGUCCUGGAGUGGACCAGAACCGCAAUAUGAUCAAGUCCGUCAAAGGAUGAGGAUCAGGACACGACCUAUUCGGAGAUGGGCCUAUGGUCGGAUUGAAAAUGGUUGAGUCCCUGAGUGGACCGGGACCGGAAUGUGAUCGAGUCCAUGAAAGGACCAGGAUCAGAUUAUGACGAAGUCCAGUAAUGGACAGAGUCAAGAUGAGGCGGUUUAGUCUAGUAUGGACUAAGG
rnacentral:lncRNA from 1 species